AGAGUUUGAUUCUGGCUCAGGACGAACGCUGGCGGCGCGCUUAACACAUGCAAGUCGAGCGAGAACCGGUCCUUCGGGACCGGGGACAGCGGCGAACGGGUGAGUAACACGUGGGUAAUCAACCCCUGACACUGGGAUAGCCCGGGGAAACUCGGAUUAAUACCGGAUGGCCCAACAGUUCUUCGGGACGGUUGGAAAAGGUAGCUUCGGCCUCCGGUCAGGGACGAGCCCGCGGCGGAUUAGCUUGUUGGUGAGGUAACGGCUCACCAAGGCGACGAUCCGUAGCUGGUCUGAGAGGACGAUCAGCCACACUGGGACUGAGACACGGCCCAGACUCCUACGGGAGGCAGCAGUGGGGAAUCUUGCACAAUGGGCGGAAGCCUGAUGCAGCGACGCCGCGUGAGGGAAGAAGGCUUUCGGGUUGUAAACCUCUUUCAGAAGGGACGAAGCCACUCAGGUUAAUAGCCGAGAGGGUGACGGUACCUUCAGAAGAAGCCCCGGCUAACUACGUGCCAGCAGCCGCGGUAAUACGUAGGGGGCAAGCGUUGUCCGGAUUUAUUGGGCGUAAAGAGCGUGUAGGCGGCUAGGUAGGUCCGUUGUGAAAACUCGAGGCUCAACCUCGAGACGCCGAUGGAAACCAUCUGGCUAGAGUCCGGAAGAGGAGAGUGGAAUUCCUGGUGUAGCGGUGAAAUGCGCAGAUAUCAGGAAGAACACCCGUGGCUAAGGCGGCUCUCUAGUACGGUACUGACGCUGAGACGCGAAAGCGUGGGG
rnacentral:rRNA from 1 species